GCCCGCGCCUCUCCCUCCACACGUCCCGGGAAGCUGAGGGAGCCGCCUCCGGCCUUGGCCAGCCCAGAAAGGGGCUCCCACAGUGCAGCCGGGGGCUGAAGGACUCUUCGAGCGCGGCCAGAGUGGGCGCCGAGACCGAGGAGGCGCCAAGAGCGAGCCAGGGCUGCGACCACAGCCAGCACGCUGUCACCUCUCAGCACCAUCCCCCAUCAUACUGUCCUCACCAUAAGCUACCAGGGGAUCUUCCUUCGCCCUUCACUGUGAGAACCUGCUGAGGUCCCUGAAAAUACAGUCCGUGAAAGUGCAGGGGCCACCUGAGACUGUGAUUCCCAGGAGUUUCUCAUUCAAGUCCAUACUCAGCCUCCAACAAAAUUUAUCAAAUUUACUGUGUAAAGGUUCUGUCUACUUUAUGGCUUGAGUACCUUCUGCUUCAGCUUACAGAAAUGAUGCCAUAGAAAAACAAGCACAUUCAAGAUAUGGGACAUGCUGUGUGUCUACCAUUCUAGACUUCUCCAAAUUGCAGUGCCAUAAAUGAGGAUGGGGAUAUUCUAAAUUUUGAAACAAGGACUAAAGAGACAUAACCAAAUGCAACGGGUAAACCUUGACUGGAUCUUGAAUUAAAAAGUCAUUUUAAAGACAACUGGUGAAAUUUUAAAUUUAAGUAUUAGCUGAUACUAUGGAAUUAUUGCUAAUGUACAUGUGGUUAUAUAGGAUAGUGUCCUUAUCCUUUGGAAACACAUAUUGAAAUAUUAGGGUUGAAAUAUUAAUACAUGAUGUCUGAAGCUUACUUUCAAAUGCUUUCAAUGAAAAUAUUUGGUCAAACACUAUUCUAGAUGUUUCUGUGAAAGUAGUUUUUGAUGAGAUUAACAUUUAAACCACUAUACGAAUGUUAAAUUUCUCUAUAUAUGUUUCCAUAGUUAUCUAUGUUUCUCUCUCUCUCCAUAGAUAUGAGAUAGAUAAAUAUAAGUUUUGUUUCUCUGGGGAACUCUAAUACAAUACCCUUCUUUCAACUUUUCAGUAUGUUUGAAAUUUUUUCUAAUGAAAAGUUAGGGAAAAAAUUUAAUUCAGAUAAUUUUUUAAAAACAUUCAGGAGUUUUUAAAAACAUUUUCCUGAUCUAGCCAAUGCUGACAUUCAGGAGUUAAGUGCGUUAUUUUGUAGCUCAUAGCUAUUCUUCUAGGAGAGAAAAUUAGUCUUAAUGGAGAAUAGUCUGAGGAGCCUAGCCAACUAAAAAUAAGCAUCACCUGUUAGUUUGCAAAUAUUUUUGAGAAUUUAUUGUCUUAGUGGCUAUGCUCAGUCCUGGGAAAAGAGUGGUAAGCCACCCAGAAGUAGUCCUUUCUAACUUCUUCCUGUGUCACUGUGUGUCCCAUACUUGGCAAGCCAAGUUCAUUUGGGUCAAAGUAGAACACAUCUAACUAGUUCUUGAUUUUAAGAGAAUCUACAGGUUUUCUGAUCAGGGAGCCUGUAUUGAUGAUAUAGCCACUUCGGUGAAAGCCAACAGUGACAGCUUCAUAUUUCAAAAGUCAGACAACUCCAGUGAACAUGAUAUAAACUCUUUUCUUCCUCUGUUUGUUCCUCUGUGUGGUGUUCCUCACACCAACACAGAACACAUUUAGAAAGCUUAUUUAAAAACAUGUCAAGUUCUCAGAGAGAGAAGAAGAAUGGUUACCAGAGGCUGGGAAGGGAAAUGGAGGUGGGGUGGGGGAGUGGGGAUGGGGAUGGUUAAUGAGUACAAAAAAACUAGUUGGAAAGAAUUAAUAAGAGUUACUAUUUGAUAGCACAACAGGGUGACUAUAGUCAAUAAUAAUUGUACAUUUUAAAUAACAAAAAGCACAUGAUUGGAUUGUUUGUAACACAAAGAAUAAAUGCUUGAGGGGAUGGGUA